rnacentral:rRNA from 1 species
CCUACGGGUGGCAGCAGUCGAGAAUCAUUCACAAUGGGGGAAACUCUGAUGGUGCGACGCCGCGUGGGGGAAUGCAGGUCUUCGGAUUGUAAACUCCUGUCAUGUGGGAGCAAAUUACAAAGAUAGUACCACAAGAGGAAGAGACGGCUAACUCUGUGCCAGCAGCCGCGGUAAUACAGAGGUCUCAAGCGUUGUUCGGAAUCACUGGGCUUAAAGCGUGCGUAGGCUGUUUCGUAAGUCAUGUGUGAAAGGCUCGGGCUCAACCCGCGGACGGCACAUGAUACUGCGAGGCUAGAGUAUAGGUGCGGGAGCCGGAAUGCUCGGUGUAGCAGUGAAAUGCGUAGAGAUC